GGCGGAUCACCGUUUGAAGGCAGCCUAAUCUCAGCAUUCAUAAUGCUGGGGUCGGUGGUUCAAGUCCACCCGUAGCUACCA
rnacentral:tRNA from 1 species